rnacentral:rRNA from 1 species
GACGAACGCUGGCGGCGUGCUUAACACAUGCAAGUCGAACGGAAAGGCCCUGCUUUUGUGGGGUGCUCGAGUGGCGAACGGGUGAGUAACACGUGAGUAACCUGCCCUUGACUUUGGGAUAACUUCAGGAAACUGGGGCUAAUACCGGAUAGGAGCUCCUGCUGCAUGGUGGGGGUUGGAAAGUUUCGGCGGUUGGGGAUGGACUCGCGGCUUAUCAGCUUGUUGGUGGGGUAGUGGCUUACCAAGGCUUUGACGGGUAGCCGGCCUGAGAGGGUGACCGGCCACAUUGGGACUGAGAUACGGCCCAGACGCCUACGGGAGGCAGCAGUGGGGAAUAUUGCACAAUGGGCGGAAGCAUGAUGCAGCAACGCCGCGUGCGGGAUGACGGCCUUCGGGUUGUAAACCGCUUUCGCCUGUGACGAAGCGUGAGUGACGGUAAUGGGUAAAGAAGCACCGGCUAACUACGU